CCUACGGGAGGCAGCAGUGGGGAAUCUUGCGCAAUGGCCUAACGGCUGACGCAGCGACGCCGCGUGAGGGAUGACGCUCUUCGGAGUGUAAACCUCUUUUGCCUGAGACGAAUUGUCAGCUUUAGCUGAUUUGACUGUAUCGGGUGAAUAAGCACCGGCUAACUCCGUGCCAGCAGCCGCGGUAAUACGGGGGGUGCGAGCGUUGUCCGGAAUCACUGGGCGUAAAGGGCGCGUAGGUGGCUUGAUAAGGGUGUGGUGAAAGUCCGGGGCUCAACCCCGGAUCGGCCGUGCCGACUGUUAGGCUCGAGUACUGUAGGGGCAGGCGGAAUUCCGGGUGUAGCGGUGGAAUGCGUAGAGAUCCGGAGGAAGACCGGUGGCGAAGGCGGCCUGCUGGGCAGUUACUGACACUGAGGCGCGACAGCGUGGGGAGCAAACAGGAUUAGAUACCCUGGUAGUCCACGCCGUAAACGAUGGGUACUAGGUGCCUGGGGGAGCGACCCCUUGGGUGCCGGCGCUAACGCAGGAAGUACCCCGCCUGGGGAGUACGGCCGCAAGGCUGAAACUCAAAGGAAUUGACGG
rnacentral:rRNA from 1 species